AACGAACGCUGGCGGCAGGCUUAACACAUGCAAGUCGAGCGCCCCGCAAGGGGAGCGGCAGACGGGUGAGUAACGCGUGGGAAUCUACCCAUCUCUACGGAAUAACGCAUGGAAACGUGUGCUAAUACCGUAUACGUCCUUCGGGAGAAAGAUUUAUCGGAGAUGGAUGAGCCCGCGUUGGAUUAGCUAGUUGGUGGGGUAAAGGCCUACCAAGGCGACGAUCCAUAGCUGGUCUGAGAGGAUGAUCAGCCACACUGGGACUGAGACACGGCCCAGACUCCUACGGGAGGCAGCAGUGGGGAAUAUUGGACAAUGGGCGCAAGCCUGAUCCAGCUAUGCCGCGUGAGUGAUGAAGGCCCUAGGGUUGUAAAGCUCUUUCACCGGUGAAGAUAAUGACGGUAACCGAAGAAGAAGCCCCGGCUAACUUCGUGCCAGCCGCCGCGGUAACAC
rnacentral:rRNA from 1 species